UUACCUUUGCCCUGCCGCUGCAAAUUCAGCGGCCGGGUGUGGUAACCCGUGGU
rnacentral:ncRNA from 1 species